rnacentral:rRNA from 1 species
CAAGUCGAGCGCUCUCUUCGGAGGGAGCGACGGACGGGUUAGUAACGCGUGGGAACGUGCCCUUCUCUACGGAAUAGCCUCGGGAAACUGGGAGUAAUACCGUAUACGCCCUUUGGGGGAAAGAUUUAUCGGAGAAGGAUCGGCCCGCGUUGGAUUAGGUAGUUGGUGGGGUAAUGGCCUACCAAGCCUACGAUCCAUAGCUGGUUUGAGAGGAUGAUCAGCAACACUGGGACUGAGACACGGCCCAG